UCUUUUAGGCCCGAUUGUACAUUGGCGGCUUAAGCUAUGGCUUAGUUGAACCGGGUUCAAUUUUGAGCGUCGGUUUAACUUCAUUCGGGUUGUUCAAUGCCGAGUUCAGUUAAGCCGAGGUUCAUACAAAUUUUGGUAAGGUUGGCAACGUAAGGCAUGCGUAUUCAAAGCAAUUCCCGUCAAUUCUCGACAUAAAUUUUCCCGCCAUUUAUGUAUUAUUAUUUGGUUUUUGUCAAUAUAAUUCUUUUAUUACUGUUAUUAGUUUAAUCGGUAUUUUCUAUCGUUUAGUUUAUCAGUUUAAUCAAUUUCCUACGUUAAAUUUGUGAACAGACCAUUUGAAUAGCUUGUGAUGAAGGAUUGCGUAAGGGUGUUAUCAGGUUUUCUUGACUCCGUAACCACUAUCACCAAAGAAGAUACUAAUUCAAUCUUCACAUUCUCUUCUCAUAAAUAUUUAACUGUUUACAGCUAUGAUUUCAAAUUCACUCAAAAAUGUUAAUAUUUGCCUUAUUCUAGGGAAGUAGGUAGGUAAUUUAAAUAAUUUUAGAAGGUAAAUUAGUUUGUAAUUAUUAUUAAAUAAAGUGAUAAUAUGUACCUACAUAAGCAUGGUACAAAUAUAAUUAAUUUAAGAUUUAUUAAUAAAUUAUGUACAUCUAAUUUAAUAAAUUAACAAAAUCGU